rnacentral:ncRNA from 1 species
UGAGGUGGAGGUCGCGAUACUUAAUAGUAAUUAAUAGGAGAUUUAGGAGUCUUUGAAUAUUAGUGAAAGGAUUUAUCGCCGAAAUGAUAUGUGACCUAAAUACAUAUUGUUGGGGCUAUGUUUAAUAGGCAUAGAACUGUCAUAGCAAUUCGCUAUGUUGAGCUACUUU